rnacentral:rRNA from 1 species
UAUCGUAUAACAGAGGUGUAAGGGCUGUCGCUGACCCUCAAAGGUCGUGCACGCCUAAGCCCUCUUACACAAUCCAUUUCACCCCUUUUGUGCAUCACCGCGUGGGUCCUCCCUUUGCCAGGAGGGCCUGCGUUUUUAUAUAAAACUUGACACGAUGUAGAAUGUUUUCUUUUUUGCGAUUAUAUGCAAUCAAUACAACUUUCAACAACGGAUCUCUUGGCUCUCGCAUCGAUGAAGAACGCAGCGAAAUGCGAUACGUAAUGUGAAUUGCAGAAUUCAGUGAAUCAUCGAAUCUUUGAACGCACCUUGCGCCCCUUGGCAUUCCGAGGGGCACACCCGUUUGAGUGUCGUGAAAUUCUCAAAGCCCCUUUUCCUUUGAUCCCCUUUUCUUGGGGGUUGGAAAAGGAGUUUUGGACUUGGAGGUUCAAUGCUUGCGUUUCACUUUUGAAAGCAAGCUCCUCUCAAAUGAAUUAAUGGGGUCCGCUUUGCUGAUCCUCAACGUGAUAAGAUGUUUCUAUGUUUUGGAUUUGGCACUGUCCCUUGGACGCCUGCUUCUAACUGUCUCACGGACAAUGAUGGUGCUCCGGUCACUACCAUUUAUAUCGGUGGAAGGCUGGACCCACAAAAAUAAAACCUUGACCUCAAAUCGGGUGAGACUACCCGCUGAACUUAA